rnacentral:rRNA from 1 species
GACGAACGCUGGCGGCGUGCCUAAUACAUGCAAGUCGAGCGGACAGAUGGGAGCUUGCUCCCUGAAGUCAGCGGCGGACGGGUGAGUAACACGUGGGCAACCUGCCUGUAAGACUGGGAUAACUUCGGGAAACCGGAGCUAAUACCAGAUACGUUCUUUUCUCGCAUGAGAGAAGAUGGAAAGAUGGUUUCGGCUAUCACUUACGGAUGGGCCCGCGGCGCAUUAGCUAGUUGGUGAGGUAAUGGCUCACCAAGGCGACGAUGCGUAGCCGACCUGAGAGGGUGAUCGGCCACACUGGGACUGAGACACGGCCCAGACUCCUACGGGAGGCAGCAGUAGGGAAUCUUCCGCAAUGGACGAAAGUCUGACGGAGCAACGCCGCGUGAACGAUGAAGGCCUUCGGGUCGUAAAGUUCUGUUGUUAGGGAAGAACAAGUACCAGAGUAACUGCUGGUACCUUGACGGUACCUAACCAGAAAGCCACGGCUAACUACGUGCCAGCCGCCGCAGUAAAAC